rnacentral:rRNA from 1 species
UCCUAACGGGAGGCAGCAGUGCGGGAAUUUUCCGCAAUGGGCGAAAGCCUGACGGAGACAAGACCGCGUGAGGGCGAGGAAGGCUCUUGGGUCGUAAACCUCUUUUGUCAGGAGAAGAACACAAUGGCACGGUACCUGAGGAAUCAGCAUCGGCUAACUCCGUGCCAAGCAGCCGCGGUGCAAUACGGAGGAUGCAAGCGUUAUCCGGAAUUAUUGGGCGUAAAAGCGUCCGGCCAGGUGGCAGUUCAAGUCUGCUGUCAAAGACCGGGGCUUAACCACCGGAAACGGGCAGUGGAAACUGAACAGCUAGAGUGCGGUAGGGGUAGAGGGAAAUUCCCGCGGUGUAGCGGUGAAAUGCGUAGAGAUCGGGAAGAACAUCGGUGGCAGAACGAGCG